UUAGAGUUUGAUCCAUGGCUCAGAUUGAACGCUGGCGGCAGGCCUAACACAUGCAAGUCGAGCGGUAACAGAUCCAGCUUGCUGGAUGCUGACGAGCGGCGGACGGGUGAGUAAUGCAUAGGAAUCUGCCCGAUAGUGGGGGAUAACCUGGGGAAACCCAGGCUAAUACCGCAUACGUCCUACGGGAGAAAGGGGGCUCCGGCUCCCGCUAUCGGAUGAGCCUAUGUCGGAUUAGCUGGUUGGUGAGGUAAAGGCUCACCAAGGCGACGAUCCGUAGCUGGUCUGAGAGGAUGAUCAGCCACAUCGGGACUGAGACACGGCCCGAACUCCUACGGGAGGCAGCAGUGGGGAAUAUUGGACAAUGGGGGCAACCCUGAUCCAGCCAUGCCGCGUGUGUGAAGAAGGCCCUCGGGUUGUAAAGCACUUUCAGUGAGGAAGAACGCCUGGUGGUUAAUACCCAUCAGGAAAGACAUCACUCACAGAAGAGCACCGCA
rnacentral:rRNA from 1 species